AUCUAAUAUGGCAGAUUAGUGCAAUGGAUUUAAGUUCCAUAAAUAAAGUUUUCAGCUUUUUUUAGAA
rnacentral:tRNA from 1 species